CUGGGGCUGAACCAGGCAAUCCCCGACACCCCUUCCAGUUAGAGGAAGAGAGAGCAGCCGGUGACACGCCGCGGGUCCUCCCUGCGAUGCUGGAAGGGUAGUGAAAUCAUCUGAGAUAAAAUGUAAGAAGGACUGAGCUUUCCACGGAUCCAGAGGCCACCAGGUGGAAGUUCCUAGAGAGCAGAGAUUGCACUCGGCUCACUGCAUCGGACCCGGCACCCAGCACCGUCCUGACAGCCAGUGGGCACUCAGUGAAUACCGAAUGAAUGGAUGUUGAGUGAAUGAUGACAACCUGACUCUCCAGACUGCGUGUGAGCACAGAGGAGGGACCGCUUUCCAAAUGCACUUCACUCUGAGAGGCCUCCGAUGCUCUGUCAUCAGUGCUCACUCCCUCCACGGACGAGGAGACCCCAGGGGCAAGUGAAAAUUACAUUCUGUACAGGACCAAGAAAGUGCCACCUUCCGUGGUAACAGGGCUGACAGUGGAGAUGACGCGCAGGAAGCGGGACGGUGGGGCCAACAGAUGUAGUUUCCGUGGAAUUUUUCAAAGUGAAAAGGCGGAUUGUUAACAUCAACCAAAGCCCUAAAAGUGAUUCUGGCAGCAAAUGAGCGCGUCUCUGAGAAGCAGGUGAAGAGCCCAGGACUCAGCUGGACACAUUGGCAGCUGCAGGCCUGAGAAGACCCCACCGGGCAGGAUGCCCCCGGCUGUCCCCCAGGGACCCCAGCUUUGAAGGCGUGUCCCCCAAAUUUCCUUGACUGGGAUCCUGGCAGGAAACAGAUGGCUCAUGAAAGGAGUCAUUGUGAGGACUGUCAGCAGAAGCAGGAACAGAGCAAGAAAACCAGCAAGGGGAUGAUGAGGCACCCGGGGGCUGGCAGCAGAGCGAAGCUGCUCCCACCUGAGGCUUCACCACGAGGGAGGAGAGCCCAGCCCAGCCCAGGCACAUUGCUGGCCACCACAGAUAAAUGUUCGCUCUGAAUUGCAGGGACCACCAUUUCCAAAUUAAAGUAGCCACUGUCUGAAAGAUGCAAGCCUGCGGCUUCCCGGAGUGAGAGGCAGCUGGAGAGAUGGUGUUGAGAUGCCGCAAAGAUCAGAAACGCUGGAACAUUUCAGCAGCUUUGGGGGACAGAGUAUCUGAGACCAGGACUGUGCUGGGGGAUGCAGAAGCUUUGGCUAGGGGGGUUCUGCACUUUCUUUUUUUUUUUGAGACGGAGUUUCACUCUUGUUACCCAGGCUGGAGUGCAAUGGCACGAUCUCGGCUCACCGCAACCUCCACUUCCUGAGUUCAAACAAUUCUCCUGCCUCAGCCUCCCAAGUAGCUGGGACUACAGGCACGCACCACCAUGCCCAGCUAUUUUUUUUUUUUUUUUUUUUUUUUUAGUAGAGACGAGGUUUCACCAUGUUGACCAGGCUGGUCUCAAUCUGUUGACCUUGUGAUCCACCCGCCUCAGCCUCCUAAAGUGCCGGGAUUACAGGCUUGAGCCACCGCGCCCAGCCCGCUUCUGCACUUUCAAUCCAGGUUACCGACUUUGCCGUUACCCUGAUGUGCGCUGACAUUGGGAGUACACUUAGUCAUGAGCAAUGUCCCAUCCCUUCUUUUUGUGAGGAGCUCUGUGAUCCUUGAGUCCACAGAUGCUUGUCCUUUUCCCCCCUGAGCUGUCACAGUAGUCUGGGUACAGGGUGGAUGCCCAGAGGCGCUGGGAAUGGGCUUGAAGAAGGGGGCAGCAGUGAGCUUCUGCAUGGAAAAGAGAUGCCAUUUCUGUUUAGGGAGCUCAUCUUUCUGGAGACCAGGAUGAAGCAGUGCCUUGGAUCUCCCCAGCCACUGGCCAGCAGACAGUGUGCGCCGCAGGGACCAGGACAGCUGGGGGCUGGGGAGUCGGGGAGAGCAAGGCUCCCGGUGCAGCAGGAGGGGCCCUCGAGCCCCAACCGGAGUCCCUGGCUCUCUCUCCUUCCUUCUCUCUGGGUUCAGGAGGUCCAACAACAGCUCUCUUUCAUAGCCAGCCCACUCCCCUAUACCGUUCAGUUCUCUUGUCUGAGUUUCAGUUUAACUCAGAUGAAAGACCCUCUGGCCACACCACCUCCAGAUUGAGCCAGAGGCUGUCUGGAGAGAGUGUGACAUUUGGUGGGAGCUGAGGAUUCAGGAAUGUUCAUCUCCCUUUCCCUAUAUCAUGUCAACAUGCAGGCUUCAAUAUUCUAAUGUUCUCCACAUUAUCUGAGCCUGUCCAGAUUAUCUGAUGGUGGGUGUGCGAGGCUGUGUUGGGCUGGUGCAUGGCAGCAGAAUGACGCCCCACGGAGGGGCUCUGCCACAGGCUUCAGAUUUUAAGAGAAUCAGUGAACAUAGUUGCAUUCUUUACAGCAUAGCGUUUUUGGGGCUGCUCAUUGUUUUGUUUUUGUUUUGAGACAGUGUCUCGCUCUGUCGCCCAGGCUGCAGUGCAGUGGCACCAUCUUUGCUCCCCGCAACCUCCAUCUCCAGGUUCAAGCAAUUCUCUUGCCUCAGCCACCCAUGUAGCUGAGACUGCAGGCACCCGCCACCACACCUGGCUACUUUUUGUGUUUUCAGUAGAGACCAAGUUUCACCGUGGUGGCCAGGCUGGUCUCCCAACUUCAAGUGAUUCACCCACCUCACCCUUCAAAAGUGCUGGGAUUACAGGUGUGAGCCACUGCACCCAGUCCUGUGCAGCACAAAGUUUUCAUGAGACUCAGUUCUUCCUGCCUGUUUAGGAGGUGCUUGUCUAAACCUCAGUCUUGAUGUGUCUGAGGGAAGAUGCUUCACUCUGCCGUGAAUGAACCGUGUCUGUGUAUGUGUGUGCGGUAGUGUGAGUGUGUGAUAUUGGUGCUGGGGAAUAGAGAGGGAUAACCCAGAGGAACUGUUAUAGUCCCGGGGAUGAGUUUUCAACGGCAUACUCAGAAAUGAGUCCUUGCUGUUUUUCCGUGUCCUCUUUAUUGUUUCAAGAUUCCUAUGAGGUUACUUUAUUACAGUUAUUUACUGUAGUAUUAAUUUUAAUUUCAAUAGAUUAAUUGGAUCCCAUUAGUCUAUUUUGGCUUUCCUUGCCAUUGCUUUUGAUGUUUUGGCAUGAAGUCUUUGCUCAUGCCUGUGUCCUGAGUGGUACUGCCUAGGUUCUCUUCUAGGGUUUUUAUGGUCUUAGGUCUUACAUUUAAGCCUUAAUCCAUCUUGAGUUAAUUUCUGUAUACUGUGUAAGGAAAGGAUCCAGUUUCAACUUUAUACAUAUGACUAGCCAGUUUUCCUAACACCAUUUAUUAAAUAGGUAAUUCACAUACCCACAGGAUUAUAAAUCAUUCUACCGUAAAGACACAUGCCCACGUAUGUUCACUGCGGCACUGUUCACAACAGAAAGACCUGGAGCCAACCCAAAUGCCCAGAAACAAUAGACUGGAUACAGAAACUGUGGCACAUACACACCAUGGAAUAUUGUACAGCCAUAAAGAAGGAUGAGUUCAUGUCCUUUGCAGGGACAUGGUUGAAGCUGGAAGCCAUCAUUCUCAGCAAACCAACACAUUAACGGAAAACCAAACACUGCAUGUUCUCACUCAUAAGUGGGAGUUGGACAAUGAGAACACAUGGACACAGGGAGGAAACAUCACACACUGGGGCCUGUCAGGGGAUGGGGCAGGGGGAGGGAGAGCAUUAGGAGAAAUCCCUAAUGUAGAUGACGGGUUGAUGGGUGCAGCAAACCACCAUGGCACACGUGCGCCUACGUCACAAACCUGCGCAUUCCGCACAUGUACCCCAGAACUUAAAGUCUAAUUUAAAAAACUCUAAAAAUGACAUAUAAAACAAAAACAACAAAAUUGUCCAAAGCUUUCAGGGUGUAAGCGGUUUUCGGCUGCAUGGAUGAUGAUCUAGUGGUGACAAUCUGGGAUUUGAGUGCAGUGGUCACCCAAGCAGUGUACCUUGUACCCAGUACGUGGGUUUUCUCUCUCACCUCCUUCCCUUCCUCCUCCUUGUGAGUCUCCAAAGUCCAUUGUUUCAAUCUGUCCGCCUCUGCCCACCCAUAGCUUAGCUCCCACUUAUGGGGGAGAACGUAUGGCAUUUGGUUUUCCAUUGGGUUAUUUCACUGAGAAUAAUGGCCUCCAGCUCCAUCCAGUCUGUUGCGAACGGCCGAUUUCAUCCCUGUUUGAGGCUGAGUGGUGUGCCAGGGUGUACAUACCACGUUUGCUUCACGCACUCGCUGGCGGAUGGGCACUCAGGUCGGUUCCACAUCUUUGCAAUUGUUCCAUGAUAAACAUAGGCGUGCAGAUGGCUUUUUGAUGUGAUGAGUUUAUUUCCUUUGGGUAAAUAUCCAGUAAUGGGAUUUCUGGAUUAAAUGGUAGAUCUCCUUUGAGUCGUUUAAGAGAUCUCCGUGUUGUUUUCCACAGUGCCUGUACUAACUUCCAUUCCCACCAGCAGCAUAUAAGCAUUUAUUUUUUCACCACCUCCACGCCAACAUCUGUUGUUUUCUGAUUUUUCAGUAAUGGCCACUCUCAGGAGUAAAGUGGUAUCUCCUGGUCUUAACGUCCCCCAGUAGGAGCAAUGCUUCCUCCUCCCAUCCCUGCCACGGGCCGGGGCCCAGCACCUUCUUUCCUUCCUUGGUUGCAGUGCAGGGAGCCCUGGACGCUACGUGCUUGGUGAGCUCUUCCUCCCAGCCUGGGCACGAGAGGAGCCGUUUCUCUGGGGGCGGUGCGUCCCCAGCCCAUCCCUGCCCACUCCUCUCCCUCUUCCCAGAAGUGGAUGUGUCUCCUCCUCCUUCCCUUCCUCACCCUCAGGGCAAACCUAGUUUCCCCAGCACUGGGCCUGACACUGUACCUCCUUGUCUUAACUUGGCAUUUUCACAUUGCAGUACUUGAACCCCGAGGAAAAACUUAUGAACCCUGGGGACCAGAUGAAAGACUGCAGAAGCUUUCUGUUAACUACGUCUCAGUCUCCGAUUUAUUUCUCACUCACUCAGUCAUGCCAUGGUAACAUGCAAGAUGGGCGGGAGAGCAGCGAGGAGGCUAUUUCUGCCAUGUAUUCCCAGUCCUAUUUUUUUUUUCAUUUAACACGUUUUGAGUGUUGGUCAAUUACAAGGUUCUGAGCUUAGGACUCCAGAGAACCCCCAAAUGCUUAAGUUCCUGCUCUCAAGGGGUUUGACAUUUAGAGGGGCUAAUAAAACGAACAUUACUCCUAGGCAAGGGAGACCAGGGUAAGUGCCCCAGAACGGGCCUCAUGGAUCCAAGGAGAGACUCAGCAACCCUUUCCUGGAAGGGUUCAACUGGCGGGGCCCAGGAAUUGCACAUUUGAGUGUGUUCUUUCAUUCGUGACCUCCAGCUCCCAAGUUGGCGCCUACUUGUUGCAUCCGAGAAAAUGGGUUGGACACCUGUCUGUCUGGGGACCCUGGAGGAAAGUUCUGGAUCUGAGAGGGAGCCUCGGGCCUUCUCCCUUAAAGCUGAUUUGUCAGGACUAUUUCACUUUACACAGAAAGUGACAUAGAGUUCCUUCCCAGUUUCUAUUUUUCUGGAAAGUGCCACUGGAAACACAGAAACUCUUUUGAUAACGAGAGAUGAACAAGUUAAGAAACAGAGCUCCACAAGUGCAGUUAUGCAGGUGAGAUUGCAUUUCAGUUUCUUCUACAGAGAUGCUGUUUCUCACAUCCUCCCUCUGGCCUCUCUUGAAUUUGACAAAGAAUCUCAGCGAAGCCAGUUACUGGAUGUGGGGCAGGCUGCGAGACGGCCCUUCCCUCGCACAUUCCCCAGCUCCCCAUCCCCGAGGCUGGAGAGGUUUGCCUCCCAGCUCCUCCCCGCCCCUGCCACAUUCAGCCUCCGGAUCACAGAAGCACACACUGUCGUCCCCUCACUGAUUGGCAUGGCCUGAUAGGCACCUCUCACAGUGGGCACUUUGUGCUUCUCCCUCCAGACAAUUGGCAGGAGAGUCAAUAGCCACACAGUCUCCUGGGAUCUGUCCCUUGGUUCCUGCCAGCCACGCUGGCGCCUUUCCACCCAGUGCUGCCAAGGGUUCCUCCUUCCAGGGCAAGGUCAGCACCACCCCUGGGUGGGGAGAGGCGAGAGGAAGGAUUCCAGAGCCAAGGCGUUGACAAAAGGGGUAGAAAGAGAUGGGCCAACGCCCCAAAGUCUGUGACUGGAAAGCAAAGAAGGGAGCUGAAGACCACAGCUGUGUAAUAGGGCCUCGGUUCAUUUCACUGUGAUGAUUUGGUGAAGAACUAUUGACCCGAGGGAGACGAUAUCCUCCUGUGAAAUAGGUAGUAACCAGGUGUGAAGGAGGCCCCUGCGAAGGUGCUGAUGUGUCAGUGUGCCUGCUGCCCUCCUUUUCAGGGUUCCUGGUGCUGAGAUAUUCUGUGCUGCUUCCCAAACUCCUCACCCACCUGCACCUGCCCACAUGCUGCGGAAAGUGCUGGAUGGCAUAGACUCUCACAUUAUGUAAGAACAUGUAUUAUUGGACAUUCUUGCUACCAACAUGCAGCCCACAGCUAAGCUCCAGAUCUUUUUGGAAUGGUUCCCAUGUAAAACUCAAAGUAAAACAAAA